GACGAACCGUGCGAACGUUAUUCGGAAUCACUGGGCUUAAAGCGAGUGUAGGCGGAUGGGAACGUCGGUAGUUGAAAGCCCCCGGCUCAACCGGGGAAGUGGUGCCGAAACGACCCGUCUGGAGGGACGUAGGGGGACCUGGAACUUCCGGUGGAGCGGUGAAAUGCGUUGAGAUCGGAAGGAACGCCCGUGGCGAAAGCGAGGUCCUGGACGUCUACUGACGCUGAGGAACGAAAGCGUGGGGAGCGAACAGG
rnacentral:rRNA from 1 species